rnacentral:lncRNA from 1 species
UCGAUAUAAUCGACUUAAUCUGUUUGUCUGUCCCCUCUGUGUUUAGUCCCCUGCGGGUAGUAAAGAAAUAGGUAUCCUCAUAGACCACAUCAUGUCCUUAUCUCCCCCAUAUCUCCUUGUCCCCACCUCCCUUUUCCUUCCGUCCCUGCAGCCUCCUCUCCCCAUCUUUCCCUUCAUCUUCUUCCACCUCCCCAUCCAUCAACCUCCUGCUCUUCGGUCUCACACCCUUGGACAUACAAGAGUUACUGCCCAUUAUAGUUGGUAACGCCUCCUUCCAAUAUAACAGUGAUUUACAAACGGACUUCCGACCGGCCUAAGUAUGGGAUCUAGCCUAUCAGGCCUGCUGGCCUGCUGGCCAUCAUGUACAUGGAUAAGCUAGAACGCACAGUACUCAAUACCUGCCACUCACGCAUCUUCUCCAGGUACAUUGGUAUCAUCCGUUCCUCCAGGGAUUAGGCCAUUAACAUACACUGGACCUUCAUUAACACUGACAUAAACAUCAAAUUCGAGAUUGAACAUCCAGACGAAUCCGAAACUCUCUCUCUACUCAACUUCCAAAUCAAGAUCGCAGUGGAAGGCUCCAUAUUUACCAAAUUCUACAGAAAAGCCGCUGCCAAUAGAAAACUUAUCGUCCACUACCAAUUAGCCUUGCCCACCAGAGCCAAAGCCACAUACCUGAGAAACGAGAUUGCACAUAUAAACAAUUGCAGGACAUGACCGACAAAGCUGUCAACCCCAAACGGUUCCUCAGAGACCCAACCCUGAAUGGCUAACCACCAUCUUUAGCUAAACAAUGGCGCCUGAAGAACGUCGAGGUCAAUAAAUGCUGGAAGAAUUAUCCUAGUGCCAAGUCCAGCAUGUGCCUCCUAAAGCUGCCACACUUUGACAGAACUAUUGUAGCGAUACAACAUGCAGUCCCCAGAGAAGGACUCGACAUAGAGAUAGUGCUCAUUGGCCCUUCCCUGAUUAAAGCUCUGUCCAAGAACACCUCUCACUACGCCGAUGAGUACACAUUGUCAAACUGCCCCAUCAAUGACCCUGAAUUGUGCCAGAGGACCCAUGUUGUAUAUGAGAUCAUCUGUGGCAAAUGUGACACACCCUAGAUUGGAAGCACGACAAGGAAACUGCAUAUACGCAUUAAGGAACACAAGCAGGCAGACACUUCUAUGAAGAAACAUCUACAGCAAUGCCAGACCCGGGAGUUCACAUCAAGGCAACACAGCAGAACAGAGGCAACCUUAGAAUGUCUGAAGCAUUGAAUACAAGACUCCAUACCAAGGAAGAGAGAAAGAAGUUGGUAAAAACCUGCAAAGAGAUGAAAACAAAAUCAAAUCUCGGUUGACAAGGUGGAAUUUAAAAGAAAAGGUAACCACCAAACCAAAUCAAAUGUAAGCAGUCUGAAGCGAGAACUACAACAUUCAAUGAAUUUCAGAGAAAGCCAUGCAGUCCUGUCAGUGAUUUUCCCCCAUCAAAACCUUUUGUCUUCUGUGCUCAGACGUUCGCCAUAUUACCUCGUCUCGGCAGACGACAACAGCGCGUGGUCACAUUCGUAGCCGAUACUUCUUUGAACGCUCACAUAACACCCCCCUCUUCUCCCACCAGUCCGCUCAAUCCUCCAACUAUCACUCCGCACCUUCUCCCCCCCCCUCUGUAUCUAUCAAUCUAUUCUUCCCACUCCUCUUUCUGGUCUGCUUAACUUCGUACCC